AGUCAGCUGAAGUGUCCCAAAUAGAACGAAAUGCUCAUCCUGGAU
rnacentral:hammerhead_ribozyme from 1 species